rnacentral:rRNA from 1 species
UAUUUAAGGUUUAAUCUGCUCAAUGAGGAUUUAAAUUGCCGCGGUAUAUUGACCGUGCAAAGGUAGCAUAAUAAUUAGUUUCUUUAUUGGAAGCUGGAAUGAAUGAUUGGACGAGAAAAUUACUGUCUCUAAUAAAUUUAAUUUUUAAUUUAACUUUUAAGUCAAAAGGCUUAAAUUGGUAUUAAAGACGAGAAGACCCUAUAGAGUUUUAUAUUUAAUUUAUUUAAUGGUUUUUGGUUAUUUAAUAUUUUAAAUUUUUUAUUUAUUUGGUUGGGGUGACUUGAAGAUAAACGUAACUCUUCAAAAAUUAAUUAUUUAAUCAUUGAUUUGUGAAUUGAUAAUCUAGAUUUUUUAAAUUUAAAAUAAAUUACCUUAGGGAUAACAGCGUAAUUUUCUUUUAGAGUUCAUAUUGAAAGGAAAGUUUGCGACCUCGAUGUUGGAUUAAGAUUUAUUUCUGGUGCAGAAGCUGGAUAAUUAGGUCUGUUCGACCUUUAAAAUUUUACAUGAUCUGAGU